CCUGCCCCUAGAGGCAUUGCAGGUGUGACUGCUGUGUCACACGUGUGUCAGGAGGUGGCAGAGCGGAGAGAGGCUGUGUCUCAGCUCAGUGAUCUCAGCUGACAUCUGAAUGAUUGGCACCCUAGCAGU
ensembl:snoRNA Gm25275 predicted gene, 25275